AAUCGGAAUCAUCAGGAGUAAAAGCCCAAGCGUUCUCCGCGCGAACUGCUGCUUCUUCCUCGGGCGUGAAAUCGUUCUUGAUAUGGAAAAUUUUCCGAAUCUGCUCCGUACUUUUCCCCUUCAUCAAUGAUGCGAUGUGCUUGCAGAGCUGAUCCAGCAGUGAUUCAGCCUCCAGGUAAUCAGCCGCCCUAACCAAUUCGAAAAACGUUUCUUCAUCCUUCCGAAACACCUCGUAACAAAACCUAGCUUCCCAUUCCUUGAGACUAAUCAAACCCUCGCCUCUCCUCCUAUCUCUCCACUUCGGAAUCUUGCAGCAGCUCGCUGUAUCUUCUUGCGAAUGCUCCUUGAACCACUCGAUUGCCAAAACUAGCACCUUCGAUUUAACCGCCGGCAACGGAAUCACGCCGUCGCCGUACCCGUCCUCCACCAUAAGUUUUAUGGUUUUCGCCUGAAUCGCUAAAGAUUCUUCCACCUCGAUUACCUGGUUGUCUGAUGUCAACAGCGUUAAGAUCUUUUUCUCAGCCGGAGUCGAAGACGACGAUGACGAUGAAGGACCAAGGUUGUCUAAAGAACUUCUCCAUUGACUUGCUGCGAGAUUUCUUACAGUUGUAAAUUGUGUCCAAGGGAUGAUGAUACGAUGUGCCUGAGAUCUGAAUAAAACUUAAAUGUCAUCAAUCUUUGUCCUGUGUAGGAAAAUGGGCCAGAAAAAAGAUUUUGAAGCUGUUGACAUCAGACAAUGAGGUAUUCGAGGUGGAAGAAUCUUUGGCGUUUCAGGCGAGAACCAUAAAACUGAUGGUGGAGGAUGGAUACAGCGACGGCCUUAUUCCAUUGCCGUCGGUGAGGUCGAGUGGUUCAAGGAGCAUUCAAACGAAGUUGAGCUAGGUUUAAAUAGUCUAAAGGAAUGGGAAUCUAGGUUUUGCAACAAGCUCUUUCAGAAGGA